GUGUCCUUCCCGCGCUCCCUGGCCCAGGCAGCUGCUCUGCCAGUGACACCUCCACCGUGUUCCUGCCAGGCUCCGCAAUGCCCCUGCCCACACAUGUACAGGCACCAAGCUGCCCUCUGCAUCUGCUCAGCUCAGGAUUGUGCACACAUGCAUGACUUUGGUCCUCCUGGCCAAAAGAUGGCUGCUGCAGCUCCAGGGUCUGCUCCUAUAUUUCAGCUAGGAAGGAAGAAGAGUGAAGGCUCAAUUGUAGAGGAAGGCAAGGAAGAAGGUGAUGAAACGGUGUGUGAGCCAGCCUCAGAGUAUGUCUGCCGCAGGAUAUGUGUGAAUGGAGCUGUAGGAGACAUUCCUAGAACUGGAUUCUUCUCACUGCAGCUGUUUGACCUGGCACUCAAGGCCUAAGAUCUGGAGUCUUGUCUCGUUCUUUCCUACGUGUCCCUCUGGCUCAGCACACCCAGUUUCCCAACUUCCCAGCACUGGGAUAUCACGUGCCCUGUUGCCUCCCGCCUCGGACCCCCCUCUCCUGGAAGGCGGGUGCCAUUUCUAUCCAGAUCCAUCCUCCUCUGAGGUUCAGUUUAUCUCCAUCUUCCCUGAAGCAUGGGCAGAAUGUCUCCUUUUUCCCCAAACGGAGAGUCUGUAUGUUUUUCUCUCAGUCUCCCUCCCAUGCCCAUCUUUCCUAGUAUUAUUCCCAGGGAUUUUUACCCCCAGGAAUUAAGGGGAACAAAGACCAACAGAGAAGAGACGGUCAGGCCCCAGGCUAGACUCAGAGACAAUGCCUGCCGCUUGGAGACAGCUGGGAUAUAUUCUCAAUCAAGGCCUCAUGGAUUUGUGCCUGAAUUCUGGAGGAUGGAGACCCCAAGGAGAAAGCAGGGAAGCAAUUUCACUGAGUCUCUGAAGUGUGUUGGGAGAUGAGGUGGCCCCUGGGGGUGGAGAGUGACCUGCUCCAUGUGGAUUCACAGUUGGGGGCCCUGGAAGUGGAGUGAAGUGGGAAGGGAAAUCCCUGUGAGAGCCUCAGCACCAGUAGUUCCCAGCACCCGUGGAGUGACACGAAGGAGCCUAUGAGCAGCAGUGACCUUGGCUCAGACAUCGGAGCCAUUGGUGGCAGCUGGAGCUGGUGCAAGAGAGACUCAGAUUACAUAUGCAGAUGUCGUCUUCAGGUCUGGAUGGUGAGCCCUUUGAAGUCAGACUCUCGCUGUCCUGCCAGCCUCCUCCUCCUGGAGUGUGAGCAAGAAGGAAGAGGGAGUUGCGGUCAAAUGCUUCAGGACCUCAUGACCCCUUAUACUUAUCCCUUCAUUCCCCAAUCUGCGGAGCUCUUUGAAGUCAAGAGUCUUGGUUAGAAAUAAAACAGGACAUGGAGUAAAUUUUCCUUCUUUUUUUGCUCCAUUCCUGUCCUCUAAAUCUUUAUAG
rnacentral:lncRNA from 1 species